UGGGGAAUUUUGGACAAUGGGGGCAACCCUGAUCCAGCCAUGCCGCGUGAGUGAAGAAGGCCUUCGGGUUGUAAAGCUCUUUCGGCGGGGAAGAAAUUGCUUCGGCUAAUACCCGGAGUAGAUGACGGUACCCGCAUAAGAAGCACCGGCUAACUACGUGCCAGCAGCCGCGGUAAUACGUAGGGUGCGAGCGUUAAUCGGAAUUACUGGGCGUAAAGCGUGCGCAGGUGGUUUUGUAAGUCAGAUGUGAAAUCCCCGGGCUCAACCUGGGAACUGCAUUUGAGACUGCAAGGCUAGAGUGUGGCAGAGGGGGGUAGAAUUCCGCGUGUAGCAGUGAAAUGCGUAGAGAUGUGGAGGAAUACCGAUGGCGAAGGCAGCCCCCUGGGCCACUACUGACACUCAUGCACGAAAGCGUGGGGAGCAAACA
rnacentral:rRNA from 1 species